CGUAAUUUUUGCAGCUUUUUUCAUUUUUUCGUCCUUCCAACGAUCGUUGCUAUGGAUACCAGCGUUGGUAUCCAUAGCAACCAAUGUUGGAAGGACGAAAUAAUGAAAAAAGCUCUGUACUAUACUGAUCAAUUCUAUACUGAUCAAUUCUAAUGGCAAAACUUGUAAAAUAAAAUAUUAAAAAAAAAACUAUAGAAAUGCACUGAUACAACUUGUUGAGGACCUGACUCGUUCCUCCAGAUCCGGGAAUGAAUUGUUGAUUCCUUCUGCGAAACGGCCCUGUUAAUUCAGGGAGUUAAUUUAACUCUCCGCACAAGCGGCCCAAUCUCAGAGUGAAUGAUCAAGUAGUGUUGCGGGUUUUUAACACUUUUAUAAACAAAUUUUAUACUUGUCCAAAACUAUUCUAAAAACAUUCUUAAAUUAGUGAAAUAGCUACACUUUAACAAUAAAAUAUAGUUGACGUAUAAUAACUUUGCUUUCUUUUAAUGAUUUCAUUUACUAAGAGCAGUUUAUGCAACAUUGUCUGUGGCCUAUGUCGUGUGUUGCUGGUUAUAUAACUACUACAUAUAGGACACAGAAAAUGUUGCAUAAACCGCUCUAAAUGAACUCGUGGAGUAAUUAGAAGAAUGCCUUUGCAUCUAUAUUUUAUUGUUAAAGUGUAGUUCUUUUACUAAUUUAAGAAUGCUUUGGUUGAGUAUGAAAUUUGUUUAUAAAAGCUGUUAAAACCCGCAACACCUGAUCCUUCACUCCGAGAUUGGGCCGCCUGUGCUCCCGGUGGAGUUAUUUUGAACCAAAUUCAGCUCCAAAUUUGGAGUAAAUUUGGUUCAAAAUAACUCCAUCACUGGAGUUAAAUUACCUCCCUCGAAUUAACAGGGCGGGUGAAAGACAAUCAUACGGCACAAAUGCGCGUGUAGACUUCUCGAAGAAGUCUACCUUUCGGUUUAAAAAAGUCUCUUGUAGAAAUUCGGAAUGCAUACCCAUUCGGCACUUCGGUGACAUCCAGGUCGAAGUCACUGAUCUGCUCAAAAAUAUAGAAAAUAUGAAAAUAAUCAAACUCAAUUGAACUAAUAUUCAAG